GAACCCUUAAGAUGAGGCUAAAGUCUACCUCAACUUUCCGAUGUUAAUACUUCCUCAAGCGAUGGUUGGAAACUGUUAUGGGGACGUUCGGGGUCAUAUAUGAUCAUCGUCGGUCAUCGACUACAUCUCAGUUUGGAGGCCCUUAGCCUUUUACUGACCUUCAUCGGCACUUGGCCUCUGGUCUCCAGCGAAUUCCCAUGCUAUUUAACUUGUUCACAACCAAGCCUGAAUCAUCGCAUAAAAUUUAACUUGCAUUCAACUUUCCAUCAUAUGCGAGUCGCAAUUUUCGAUAUCGAAAUUAAUGCGAACGCACCCACUUAUCAUUGCAAGUAAUUAACCUUCACAACAAAGCUGUGUUUUUUUUUCUGCUGCUAAAUUUCAAGUAAAAAUGCAUAAAAACAGGAAAAUUCUUCAAUUUUCCUGGGAAAGUCAAGUCCCUACCGAUGGAGUGGCACGUUUUCGGUCCGAUUACUACCGAAACCCAGUGGAAUCGGCCGAAUCACAGAACGAUUGCACCGCGAUGAAUGGACAGGACUGAACGGAUCCAGUUUUGAAGGUCGAGAUGUCGCAUGCAGCCCCGGGAUGGAAUAUUAUAAUCUUAUUAAGUGAAUAAAUACUAUGCAGGUUUUAAGUGUGCGGCAGGCCACACCCCUAAAGA